AUUUUUGCAGAGAUUUUCCCUGGUCAAGAGUGCAACAUGAGUCGUGGAUAUGAACUUUACUGUCAGAUGUACAUUGAUUGAAAAGUGAACAAGAUAUCUGCACUGAGAAUGAAUGAAGUUGAAGAAAGUUGAAAGGCACCCCAGAAGAACCUGAAUUAUUUUAGCCCUAUCCUAGAUUCAUUGAAUAUUUUAGUGUGUGAUAACAUGUGUGAAAUGUGAUCAAUUAUGUGACAAUUUUCAAAACUUGGAUUUAUAAAGAGAAAAUUUUCUUUGUAAUGUUUAAGAAGUAAACUUUUUUGUCUGGUGGUGUUGGUGUUUUGAUUUUGCAUGUUUUUCCCUGUGCUUUCACAAAUGAAAAUAUUUUAGCAGUUGCUUUUGGCUUUUUCUCAUACUUCUUUUCUCUUUAAUUUCUUC
rnacentral:lncRNA from 1 species